UUUUUUUUUUUUUAAGUUUCAGCUCAGAGCUGCGGCCAUGCUGAUGCACCAGGCAAUAAAUAUUUAUGUUUGAAAAGAAAUAGUUUUGUUCUAAAAACGGCGUGAUGGUCAAUAGAUCAUGUAUGUGAUUAGAUGAGCUGAUCAAAGGAGAUAACUGGCAUGGAAGGUGGACAUUAAAUGAUGAUAAUGAUGAUGAUGAUGAUGAUGAUGAUUUUUAACAAAAAAUAUAGCAGUGCAAAGAUCUUGAGCCAGAAGUUCACCAAGAGACCAUGCAAAGUUGAUCGAUUGCUAUACUUGUUGAAGCCUUACCACACGUACACUGAAAGCCCAAGACCAUUACUAAGUGGCGAUAUUCCAGCACCAUCAGAACGAAAAACUUCGAAGCCACCAGAAGAGAAAAGAAACCAAUCAAACGACAGAAGAGUAAGGUUCGACAAAAUCAACCUCGUCCUCCACUAACAUUACCAUUCAGUCAAUUCCAUCGACUCUUCUAUGCAAAAAUUGGUCUACACUAUUAUCAACGCUAUCAUCAUAAAGGAAAUGUUCAGCAAAGAAGAAAGUAAUUUCUCAGAUACGAGAUAAAGCUGCCGCUGAUGUGUUUGUGUAUAUAUCGUCAUGCAGAGUAUUUAUAUUUAGCAAAGACUUUCUUUCAUCUGACGACGUAGCUCAAAUUCUGCAUUAUUUUGA